GAUGAACGCUGGCGGCGUGCUUAACACAUGCAAGUCGAACGGAAAGGCCCAAGCUUGCUUGGGUACUCGAGUGGCGAACGGGUGAGUAACACGUGGGUGAUCUGCCCUGCACUUCGGGAUAAGCCUGGGAAACUGGGUCUAAUACCGGAUAGGACGAUGGUUUGGAUGCCAUUGUGGAAAGUUUUUUCGGUGUGGGAUGAGCUCGCGGCCUAUCAGCUUGUUGGUGGGGUAAUGGCCUACCAAGGCGUCGACGGGUAGCCGGCCUGAGAGGGUGUACGGCCACAUUGGGACGGAGAGACGGCCCAGACUCCUACGGGGGGCAGCAGUGGGGAAUAUUGCACAAUGGGCGCAAGCCUGAGGCAGCGACGCCGCGUGGGGGAUGACGGCCUUCGGGUUGUAAACUCCUUUCGCUAGGGACGAAGCGUUUUUGUGACGGUACCUGGAGAAGAAGCACCGGCUAACUACGUG
rnacentral:rRNA from 1 species